GAUGAAGAACGUAGCGAAAUGCGAUAAGUAAUGUGAAUUGCAGAAUUCAGUGAAUCAUCGAAUCUUUGAACGCACCUUGCGCCCUUUGGCCAUUCCGAAGGGCAUGCCUGUUUGAGUAUCAUGAACACCUCAACUCUCAUGGCUCGCCAUGAUGAGCUUGGAUUUGGAGGUCUUGCUGGCCUGUGGUCGGCUCCUCUCAAAUGGAUCAGCUUGCCAGUGUUUGGUGGCAUCACAGGUGUGAUAACUAUCUGCGCUUGUGGUUUUCCAUCAGAUAACCUUCAGUGAUGGAGGUUCGCUGGAGCUCAUAAACGUCUCCCCUAAGCGGGGACAGCCCUUUGAAUGUUUGAUCUCAAAUCAGGUAGGACUACCCGCUGAACUUAAGCAUAUCAAUAAGCGGAGGA
rnacentral:misc_RNA from 1 species